rnacentral:rRNA from 1 species
UGGGGAAUAUUGGACAAUGGAGGAAACUCUGAUCCAGCAAUUCUGUGUGUGUGAAGAAGGUUUUAGGACUGUAAAACACUUUUAGUAGGGAAGAAAAAAAUGACGGUACCUGCAGAAGAAGCAACGGCUAAAUACGUGCCAGCAGCCGCGGUAAUACGUAUGUUGCGAGCGUUAUCCGGAAUUAUUGGGCUUAAAGGGCAUCUAGGCGGUAAGACAAGUUGAAGGUGAAAACCUGUGGCUCAACCAUAGGCUUGCCUACAAAACUGUUGAACUAGAGUACUGGAAAGGUGGGUGGAACUACACGAGUAGAGGUGAAAUUCGUAGAUAUGUGUAGGAAUGCCGAUGAUGAAGAUAACUCACUGGACAGAAACUGACGCUGAAGUGCGAAAGCUAGGGGAGCAAACAGG